rnacentral:rRNA from 1 species
AGAGUUUGAUCCUGGCUCAGAACGAACGCUGGCGGCAGGCUUAAUACAUGCAAGUCGAACGGCUGUAGCAAUACAGCAGUGGCAGACGGGUGAGUAACACGUGGGAACCUACCUAGGGGUACGGAAUAACUCAGGGAAACUUGUGCUAAUACCGUAUACGACCUCAGGGUGAAAGAUUUAUCGCCCCUAGAUGGGCCCGCGCUGGAUUAGCUAGUUGGUGGGGUAAAAGCCUACCAAGGCGACGAUCCAUAGCUGGUCUGAGAGGAUGGUCAGCCACACUGGGACUGAGACACGGCCCAGACUCCUACGGGAGGCAGCAGUAGGGAAUCUUGGACAAUGGGCGAAAGCCUGAUCCAGCCAUGCCGCGUGAGUGAUGAAGGCCUUAGGGUUGUAAAGCUCUUUCGCCAGGGAAGAUAAUGACGGUACCUGGAUAAGAAGCCCCGGCUAACUUCGUGCCAGCAGCCGCGGUAAUACGAAGGGGGCUAGCGUUGUUCGGAAUUACUGGGCGUAAAGCGCACGUAGGCGGCAUUCCAAGUUGGAGGUGAAAUCCCCGGGCUUAACCUGGGAACUGCCUCCAAAACUGGAAAGCUCGAGUCCGAGAGAGGUGAGUGGAAUCUCCAGUGUAGAGGUGAAAUUCGUAGAUAUUGGAAAGAACACCAGUGGCGAAGGCGGCUCACUGGCUCGGUACUGACGCUGAGGUGCGACAGCGUGGGGAGCAAACAGGAUUAGAUACCC